AACGAACGCUGGCGGCAUGCCUAACACAUGCAAGUCGAACGAGACCUUCGGGUCUAGUGGCGCACGGGUGCGUAACGCGUGGGAACCUGCCCUUAGGUUCGGAAUAACUCCCCGAAAGGGGUGCUAAUACCGGAUAAUGUCUUCGAACCAAAGAUUUAUCGCCUUUGGAUGGGCCCGCGUUGGAUUAGCUAGUUGGUAGGGUAAAAGCCUACCAAGGCGACGAUCCAUAGCUGGUCUGAGAGGAUGAUCAGCCACACUGGGACUGAGACACGGCCCAGACUCCUACGGGAGGCAGCAGUGGGGAAUAUUGGACAAUGGGCGAAAGCCUGAUCCAGCAAUGCCGCGUGAGUGAUGAAGGCCUUAGGGUUGUAAAGCUCUUUUACCCGGGAUGAUAAUGACAGUACUGGGAGAAUAAGCUCCGGCUAACUCCGUG
rnacentral:rRNA from 1 species